rnacentral:rRNA from 1 species
ACAACGGAGAGUUUGAUCCUGGCUCAGGACGAACGCUGGCGGCGUGCCUAACACAUGCAAGUCAAGGAGAAGGAUACCUUCGGGUAGCCGGAUACUGGCGCACGGGUGAGUAACACGUGGAUAAUCUGCCCUUUACACAGACAUAACUCAGGGAAACUUGAGCUAAUAUCUGAUGAGGCCUCCGGGUCAAAGCUACGGCGGUAAAGGAUGAGUCUGCGUCUGAUUAGCUAGUUGGUAAGGUAAUGGCUUACCAAGGCGACGAUCAGUAACUGGUCUGAGAGGACGAUCAGUCACACUGGAACUGAGACACGGUCCAGACUCCUA